AGGUUCUUGUCUGUUAUUAAGAUUCUGUCAAGCAAGAAGACAACUGCAAACAUAGCCUUGAGAGAUCAUUGAAAACACAUGACACAAAAAGAUGAAAGAAUCAAGAACCUGAGCUUCAUUAGGUCCUAAAACCUGGUCUGUGAUCUCAAUUGGAAGACUGUGGACCUUGGCUGGGUUCAAGUUCCAGGCACAUAAUUUCAAGUCCUAAGCAGGGUUUUGGCUGAGUUUCAGUUCUAACCAGAAGAGCUCAAGAUGCAAUCUGAGGAAAAUGAAUCCUCGAACAGAUGAAGGAUGAAUUAUGAUACCUCCUACUUCUACCCAACCACUGCUACCCAAACACUUCUACCCAAAUGCUGUGGAGUGACAUUUUACAUCAUAAUUUCUUAUCAUCACUGAGCACAGAUAUUGGCGUUUGGCAUCUUGGAAUCCCUGCCUAGAAUUUUCCAAAUUAGAAAAGAAUGCUAUAUCUCUUUUGCUUUUAGAAGCUAACUUUAAAAGCGUGUGCCUGGGGAGAACAGCUACAAAGAGAAAACUUGUCUGGAAUAGGGGACAACAUUGAACUUUACCUAAGCACUGUGUUUAGAAGGUUAAGAAACCUAUUCAUCCCCUUUGUGUUCCUGGGAAUGACUUACUGCAAUGAACCACCCUUCUGCAUGACAGGAAUCCUGGACAACCCCUUGCUUUCCUAUGCCAAGACCAGCCCUCCAUAUUCAUAUUUGAUGCCUCUCACAUAAAUUAGAUGAACUGUUUUAUCCCCACUGAUCAUCUGAAGCAAAAUGCUUGAUAACAAGAAUUUGACUAAAUUUCUCUCCCCUACCCAAAUCCCUCAACUCUGACCCAUCUUCAGCCUGUUCCAGCACACAACCCCUCCUGCGAAUAGGCA